rnacentral:miRNA from 1 species
GGUGUGGCCGUGUUGGAGGAAGUGUGUCACUGGGGGUGGGCUUUGAUGUUUCAGAAGCUCAAGCCAGGCCUAGUCAGUUCACUGUCUCUUCCUGCUGCCUGCAGAUCC